CGAAUUGUGGUUUUUCUCAGAC
rnacentral:piRNA from 1 species